rnacentral:rRNA from 1 species
UACGUAGGGUGCAAGCGUUGUCCGGAAUUAUUGGGCGUAAAGAGCUCGUAGGCGGUUUGUUGCGUCGGCUGUGAAAUCCCGAGGCUCAACCUCGGGUCUGCAGUCGAUACGAGCAAACUAGAGUGUUGCAGGGGAGACUGGAAUUCCUGGUGUAGCGGUGAAAUGCGCAGAUAUCAGGAGGAACACCGGUGGCGAAGGCGGGUCUCUGGGCAACAACUGACGCUGGAGGAAGCGAAAGCCGUGGGGAGCGAACAGGA